UACGGAGGGUGCGAGCGUUAAUCGGAAUAACUGGGCGUAAAGGGUACGCAGGCGGCCUUUUAAGUGUGAUGUGAAAUCCCCGGGCUUAACCUGGGAAUAGCAUUUCAGACUGGGGGUCUAGAGUACUUUAGGGAGGGGUAGAAUUCCACGUGUAGCGGUGAAAUGCGUAGAGAUGUGGAGGAAUACCGAAGGCGAAGGCAGCCCCCUGGGAAUGUACUGACGCUGAUGUGCGAAAGCGUGGGGAGCAAACAGG
rnacentral:rRNA from 1 species